GCCCGCGGUCCCUGAGGACAGGAUCUCGGGGCCUCCGGGACACUUUCUCCCCGCCGCCUGGACCCAGAGCGUUUUGUCCAGCGGGAAUAGCGGUUUUGGCGCCCCUGUUGUGGGUGGACGGACCCCGGCGCCAUACGAGGGUUUGCAAAAUUGCACAAACGCGCGACACACCCCCGUUGCCCACCCAGUGCCAACACCCUUCUGGGUAAUUUAAGUCUAUUCCUUAAGUGCAUGUUUAAGUUCGUCGUCGAGGUCGCGCUAACUCACAUAGUGAAGCCAGAUUUAAAGUUAGGUAGUCAGUGUAGUUAGAUAAAUCGGGUCUAAUGCCGAGUGAAAUCUAAAAUGGAGACCAUGCGGAGAAUGACUCAGGGAAAACACAGGACAACUCAUGGAAGUCCCGAAAAGGCCCUAGGCCAAAGUCCACCUCAAAGAAAUGUUAAUGAACAGCCCCCAGCAAAAAGGUGCUGACUCAGAAGUCCUUCCUGACCAGAUUACUUCUUUGGCCCACCUGUGUCCCACCCCUGGGGCCUUCCCACCUACAUUCCAUCACUGAAAGAACUAUAAAAAGGGGAGACAACAUCCCUUCCAUGGAUUCCACCUCUUGGGUCCCCUUCUUCCUCCGGGAGAAGUCUUUUCCGCUGUCCUUUAAUAAACUUCUAAUUUCUACUCUGACCUUGCCUUGGCGUGCUUCUUUGGUGUUAUUCUUCAACAUUGGGGAAGCAAGAACUCGUCACCAGUCAACAGCGGUAACAAUAGUAGCAGCAGAAUAGUAACUCAGAUUUAAAACAAGGCUUCCUUUUCCUAGGGAGAAGCGGCUGCAACCUUGCAGGACACACCGCCGCCUAUCGCCGAAAUGCAGCCUUACUUGGACCUCCCGGACCAAAGGAACUGGUACACAACUAAAAAUGCAAAGAUCAACCCUGGAAGAACAGGGGUUUGAACUGACCAAAUCCGUUUACUCGCCCCCCCGCAAAUUUUUUUCCCUAUUUUUGAGACCUGGAACAUAUGGGGGGGUGGGGCUUCACAAACUAUGGAGCAUAGAAAUACUGAAAAAAUGUAAAGUUACAUAUAUCAUGAAUGCAUAAAAUACACGUAGCUAAGUCCUUUUUAUCAUGUACUAUAAUAAAGUAUGCACGAA
rnacentral:lncRNA from 1 species